rnacentral:rRNA from 1 species
AACGAACGCUGGCGGCGUGCCUAACACAUGCAAGUCGAACGUGAUUGGAAGCUUGCAUCCAUGAAAGGGGCGCACGGGGGAGUAACGCGUAGAUAAUCUACCUGAUGGAUCGGGAUAACACUUAGAAAGGGGUGCUAAUACAGGAUAAGACAACGGAGUCCUUGGACACUGCGGCAAAAGAAGGGGACCUUCGGGCCUACAGUCAUCCGAUGUGUCUGCGUACCAUUAGCUAGUUGGUAGGGUAAAGGACUACGAAGGCGACGAUGGUUAGCUGGUAUGAGAGGAUGAUCAGCCACCCUGGAACUGAGACACGGUCCAGACUCCUACGGGAGGCGGCAGGGGGGUAUUUUGCGCAAUGGGGGAAACCCUGACGCCGCAACGCCGCGUGAGUGAUGAAGGCCCUUGGGUCGUAAAGCUAUGACAGAGGGAAAGAAAUGUGGGUGGCUAAUAUACAUUCCACUUGGCGGUACCAUCAAAGGAAGCACCGGCUAACUCCGUGCCAGCAGCCGCAGUAAUAC